GACGUAGGGGGCGAGCGUUGUCCGGAUUCAUUGGGCGUAAAGCGCGCGUAGGCGGCUGCGCAAGUCGGUUGUGAAAUUCCGAGGCUCAACCCCGGAACUGCGUCCGAUACUGCGUGGCUAGAGGUAGGUAGGGGAGAUCGGAAUUCCUGGUGUAGCGGUGAAAUGCGCAGAUAUCAGGAGGAACACCGGUGGCGAAGGCGGAUCUCUGGGCCUUACCUGACGCUCAGGCGCGAAAGCUAGGGGAGCGAACAGG
rnacentral:rRNA from 1 species